rnacentral:rRNA from 1 species
GACGAACGCUGGCGGCGUGCCUAAUACAUGCAAGUUGAGCGCUGAAGGAUGGUACUUGUACCAACUGGAUGAGCAGCGAACGGGUGAGUAACGCGUGGGGAAUCUUCCUUUGAGCGGGGGACAACAUUUGGAAACGAAUGCUAAUACCGCAUAAAAACUUUAAACACAAGUUUUAAGUUUGAAAGAUGCAAUUGCAUCACUCAAAGAUGAUCCCGCGUUGUAUUAGCUAGUUGGUGAGGUAAAGGCUCACCAAGGCGAUGAUACAUAGCCGACCUGGGAGGGUGGACGGGCACAUUGGGACUGGGACACGGCCCAAACUCCUACGGGAGGCAGCAGUAGGGAAUCUUCGGCAAUGGACGAAAGUCUGACCGAGCAACGCCGCGUGAGUGAAGAAGGUUUUCGGAUCGUAAAACUCUGUUGGUAGAGAAGAACGUUGGUGAGAGUGGAAAGCUCAUCAAGUGACGGUAACUACCCAGAAAGGGACGGCUAACUACGUG